GCGGCGAGAGGCGAACAAAGAGCGCCGGCAGCCGCGCCAAGCGGAGGGAGCGUGUGGGCCGGCGGGGCAGGGGCCAUGUCGGGCACGGAGCCUCCGAAGCCGGGGCCGCGGGGCCUCCUGGGCCUCCUGAACCCGCGGAGCUGAGGCGGCGCUGCUGCUGCUGGCCUUGCCCCCUCAUGGCCGUGGGAAGGGGCAGCUCCUCCGGGUGAAGGAAGGAAGGAAGGAGGUGGCGCGGCGCCCCUGAGGGGAGAAGGAGGCGGCGGCGGCGGCGACCGGGGGAGGCGGAGGCGCCUUCUCUCCUCGGGCCGGGCAUGGCGGCGUCGGCGGCGGCCGGCGUGAGCUACUCUCCUCCGUGGUGGGUGAGCCUCCUGCACCGCCUGCCCCACUUCAGCCUCCGCUGGGAGGCCGUCGGCGACGACUUCCGACCCGAGGACGCCGAGUACCAGCAGGCCCUCUUGCUGUUGGGUGGUGUUGCUCUCUCCUGCCUUGCUCUGGAUCUCCUCUUCCUCCUUUUCUAUUCCUUCUGGUUAUGUUGUCGCCAUCGGAAAACUGAAGAACAGCUGAAUGCAGAUUGCUGCUGUACAGCCUGGUGUGUCAUCAUUGCAACUCUGGUCUGCAGUGCUGGCAUAGCUGUUGGCUUCUAUGGAAAUGGGGAGACCAGUGAUGGCAUUCAUCGGCUAACAUCUUCAUUGCGGCAUGCCAAUCUCACUGUUGCAGGAGUCCAAGACCGGGUGCAAAACAUUGCAGUUGCUCUGAACAAAACAGCAGAGCCCAACUUGGGGUUCCUGGAGGUAAUGUUUGCUAAACAGACAGAUUACCUGCAUGUGGUUCAAAAGCUCCAAGGACUCUUGGAUGAACUUGUGAGGCAGACAACAGAGAUUCCUUUCUGGAAGAAUGAUGACAUCUCUCUAGAAUUGCUGGCAGGUCGUAUUGAUCUGUAUGACUGGUACAGGUGGCUGGGAUACCUGGGCUUACUCAUGUUCCAUGUCCUAAUAUGUUUGCUGGUGCUAUUUGGACUAAUUAGAAACUCAAAGGCCAUUCUUGUGGGAGUGUGUCUUCUAGGCGUGCUUGCCCUGAUUGUGAGCUGGGGGUCCCUGGGUCUGGAGUUAGCUGUUGCUGUGGGUUCCAGUGACUUCUGCGUUAACCCUGAUGCCUACAUCUCCAGAGUGGUAGAGGAUUAUGCGGUGCUAAGUACAGAUACUCUGAACUAUUAUCUUGUCUGCAAUGCUGGCUCCCUAAAUCCGUUUCAGCAGAAGCUGUCAGGAAGCCACAAGGUCCUGGUAGAAAUGCAGGAUGAUGUGCUGGAGCUGAUGAAGUCUGCCGUCAAAGAAUACCCCGCUUCCAAGGAGCACAUCAGUCAAAUCCAGGGAGUUCUGAAUACCACUGAAAGCAACCUGCAGCACCUGACUGCCCUGGUGGACUGUCGGAGCCUGCAUUUGGAUUACAUACAAUCUCUGACGGGCUUCUGCUAUGAUGGUGUGGAAGGGCUUAUCUAUCUGGUUCUCUUCUCCUUCGUCACUGCCCUCAUGUUCAGUUCUAUAGUGUGCAGCGUCCCGCACACUUGGCAGCAAAAGAGGAGUCCAGAUGAUGAUGGAGAAGAUGAAUCGACUGCUCAAGGGAACAGGCAAACACACGACAACUUGUACAGGGUGCACAUGCCUAGUCUUUACAGCUGUGGGAGCAGCUAUGGAAGCGAGACCAGCAUCCCAGCAGCGGCGCACACAGUCAGCAAUGCUCCCGUCACAGAGUACAUGAGCCAGAAUGCAAAUUUUCAGAACCCCCGAUGUGAGAAUACACCUUUGAUUGGCCGGGAGUCUCCACCUCCCUCCUUGUAUUUGGCUGCCAUGGACAGUAGCAGCCAUAUGAGCUGGCAGCUUAAGCCCUCGGACAGUGCUCGGACGUACUGGUAACAGCGCCCGCAAAAUCGGAACAGUUGCUGAGAAGGGGCCAAAGGUUAUCAGCAAAAUAUUUAUGACAGUUGCAAGAUAUUGAAGCUACCAACAUUCACAGUAUCAUUCAGUACACCUCCAGCAUGAGAGCCAAAUACCUCGCCACCAACCAGCCUCGGCCAGACUCUGGCAGUGUGCAUUAAAAACUAGAAUGUGGUCUAAGUUUUUUAAAAAAGGAACAAAACAUGCCAACUGCUGCCAUCCUGUGUUGUCCUCGCAGAACAGCCCUGCUUUUUUCCUGUCCUGAAUCCAGCUCAGUUGCUUUUCUUGCUCCUCUACCCCUUUGGAGUGCACUUGGGGCAAAACUAGGUGGAAGCUUAUUGCUGAUUAAGGCUAUGCUUACUUGCAACUGUGUGUGCAGGAGUGGACAGAGAAGCAAGGUCCUGUGCACACCUGCAGGAGACUCGCCAGUUCACCUAUGUUGCCCUGCUAUGUGUGGGAUCAGCUUUCGUUGAUCGCCGAUCAGGAAAUUGCAAGCCGCUUGCCACCUUUUCUGCCAGGCCUCUGUCUAAUUCAUUGAGGACGAAAAUGGUGUUGUGAGUGAAGCCUAGAAAAAGUGGAUCAUCUUACAGAAGUACUAUGGAUGUGACAUACUAAUCUGAGGAAGCCAUAUUUAAUGCGCACACUGUCAGAAAGUUCACGUGCACUCAGCUCCUACUGCAUAUCUCUCAUCUCUGUGCUACUCUAGAGAAGCGUCUCCUCAUUCCAGGAUCGACAAAUCUGGGAGGCCACCUUCUCCCUUCCGUGUUAGAAUGAGAAGGCAUGCUGAUUCAAUCAUCCUCUUCCAGUACAAGUUUACUUCUCUCUCCCUCUCUUUAGACCUAGGUGCAAACACCUGGGGAGAAGUAGGGGGCUUCCUUUACCACCAACUGCUGUAUUCUCACUCCCCACACGCUAUGCAUGCACCCACAUGCAUGCAUGAGUUCACAUCGGCUGUGCUGGAUUUUCCUACUCUACUUUGCCACUAGACUUUCUAAUAGCAAUCAGCAGAUGUUCUUUGACACUGAUGUACAGACAUGAAACUGGAGCCAGCAUUCCUUCUGGUGCCAAAAUAUUUCAGGACAAUGCUUAAGGAGCAUUAGACGGGGGAGAGAAGCAUCUUAUCUCUGCUGCCGGCCACAUGGCACAAGUGUAACAUGAUAAAAGUGCAACUAAGAGUGCCAGCCAGGUUUGGUGCAAAUGUUCCCCUGUGGCAAGAUGGACUUAUUGCUUAUUCUGAGCACUGGGACAUGCAAGAUCCUAGAAGCGUUGGGUUCUGAUAUAGACCUUUGGGAGCUCCACAAUCAAUCUACAGAUUUAUGCUAUUCUUGUAUCCCAGAAUUGGAGAGCAAAAAUACUGUGAAUGUCAGAACAGGUUUGAUAUUUCUCCCACCACCCUCUUUGGCCCAUCAUGCUAAUCUCUCAUAUUGGCUGCACAAACCACAUUCCAGUUGCUGCGCUGGCAGCAAAGAUCAACGGCAGAUUGAGGGAGAUCAAAGUUCAGGGAUGCCUACACCAGUCCCACAGCUGCUGCAUCGAAGGUGCUCUAUUUGAUAAAAACCAUGGGGGUCCAGGGGUGGGGGGACAGGGAAGGUCUUUACUUAUUUAAUACUUUGAUUUUUCAUUUCUGUGUCACUUAUCCCGUAACAAGUGACUAGAGACAGGGUAAAAUACCUCCCAAUGUCAGCUGGGAUACCAGAUUACUUUUUUUGUGUGGCACCAUUGUCAGAACUUGGUCCUCAUUUAAGUUCACGUAGAAGCCACAGUGAGUUUAUCCCAUCACCUAGGACAGUACUGGAGGAGACCUCCUCCAGACAUAGAAUGAUAGAAUUGUAGAGUUGAAAGGGACCUUGAGGAUCAUCUAGUCCAAUCUCCUGCAGUGCAGGAACAUGCAGCUGCCCCAUACAGAUCAAGCCUCCAGCCUUGAUGUUAGCAGCACCACAUACUAACCAACUGAGCUGUUCACCCACUUGAUAACCCCUAUCUCUUCCAUUAGCUUCUCUCUUAGCAAAGGGCUGCGUCCAGGGGAAGGUUUUUAUGCCUUCUCCUUGGAAAUAGGUUGCUUCCUACAAGGGUGUGACUCCUUUGCAGUCUGCUUACUGAGAAAGUGGAGGAUGCUAGAGGACCAUGGGAUCUUUGGGUGCUGCCUGCAGAAGGAUAGAAAGAAAGAUUGAAACAGUCUUUAGUCAGUUGUCAAAAAGAUUUACAUGUAUAUGAGCAGCAUAGUAAGCCUUUAAAUUUACCUCUGGGUAUAGAUUAUGGUCAUGUGCUACCCAAUACUAUUAGGAGAGGGGUCUAGAAAGUUAAAGACUGUAAAUGUUUAUGUCCACCCUGCCGUUUGGCAACCUUUUGAUAAUUACUUUCCAUCUGGCUAGCUCCAGAACUGGUCUCUCUUCCCACUCUAAGGACCAGACUACGCAUUGCAAAGCAAGCAAACCCACAUUUGCCAUUGAGUGCACACUCAGUUGGGAGUUAAUCCUCAUUCUGCUUAGGUACAUGGUUUUGAAACACCUUGUUUUUUCAUGCUUCUAAAACAAGAAAAUGUAGGUGUACACUUAAAACAUCUUAAAUUUAUGGAACAGUUUUCAGAUUAUACUGGAGAAGCAGCCCUAAAAUAGCACCCUUGGUAGCCUAGCCAUGACUUUUAAUGGCUUAAGAAAGGCAAGCCUUCAAACAAGGUCUCUCCCACCCCACACCCACUAGUGUAGAAAGGAAGAGAUUCAUAGAGUAUGAAAUCAUAGAACUGUAGAUUUGGAAUGGACCCCAAGGGUCAAGUAGCCCAACCCCCUGCAAAUGCUCCAAUAAAUGCUGUCUGUGCAUACUGAUGCUAACCAAGGGACCAACGAUAACAUUACAGUAACCACUAUAGAAAUUGCCUUCAUCCAAGGUGUAGCUGCAACUUAUGCUCUGAAGAGGAAGGAGCGACUGGCUCCACUGGUGGAUCAUGAAUUGCCAAAUGGAGAUGUGCUUAGUAUCUUCCAUUGGAUUUCUAGAAGGAGACCAUUUGGGGGAAAGUGAUGCUAUAAGGCAAAGCUGCAAGGUCUCUACUGUGUGGAUUCGAUUGGGGGACUCUGGACUUGAGGUGACUUUUUUUCCAACUUCCGUAGAGUCACAGCAUCCAACUGCCUCGUUGCAUAUAAUGCAGGACCUUGGUGUAGAUCUUAAUUAACGUGGGCAAGACUCAACUUUGUUUUUAAUUGAACCUCUUUUUUAAAAAACAAAAAGAACAACACCGAUAUGGAUUCCUGAGUGACGCCAACAGCACAUGGAGAUUUUCCAAGGCUAGUUUAAGUGGACCUACUUCUGAAAAGAAGCUUGCGUGGGGGGGCAUUUGCACUGGCACGAGGAGAAAUGCACACAGCGGUGACCUGCAAGUGAGGUGACUCUGUGCACUCUCUUGUGCAAUCCCAAACCAUCUGUGGUUGCAGCAUGUCUGUGGAAUCGGCUUCUCAGGAGUUCUCUGCGUCAUUUGUUCCACCCCCACCCUGCCCUGCCCUCCAGGCCAGCUUCCGAACAGACUAAUUCCAAAUUGCUGACUGGACGGUUUUAUCUUUCAGCUGGCUUUGGUGCUUGUUGGGGCUCUUAAAUAUCUUUGGUAUAGCAAGUGAAACCACAAAAAACUUUAUUUUUUCUCUGUCCUUAUUUGUAUGAGUUUUUAAGUAAUGUGAUUUGGGGGGGGGCAAUCUCAAAACCAUAUUGCUUGGAAUGUGUCCUGGCUGAUUUCCUCAGCGACUCUCAAAUCAUUUCAGAACUAUCACCCUAACUUUGAUUUAGAAAUUCUGGAGAAGAAGGAAGACUAAUACCCAGUACCGCCUGAUCAGAAUCUAAAUGAGGCAGUGAGACAUCAGAAUGGGAAACUGGAGUGGUAGAGACUCUCCUUUUGAUUUUCUCCCCCUCCCCAGUGCAUCUGUGGCCAUCUGCUUGUCUGCUUUAUUUGGUCAUGUCCCUCCCCCCCCAAAAAAAAACAACCCGUGGCAUUGUCACAGCACUUUUUAAAACAAACAAACAAACCAACAAUUGUGAACCAAGAACCUUGUCAAGCACACAAACAUCUCCACAAUGUGAAAUGUAUAUAGCAUGUUGGACUCUCUGCGUCCAGUGUUCAAGACUGCAUUGUAAUUGUUUAAAAAAGAAAGAAAGAAAUUGAAUCAAGACUUGGCUGUGAAUUUAUUUUUUCGUGUGUGUGCUGUCCUGGAAAUAAGUGUAGUGUUUUGUAUCCUGUAUGUUAAUGUUAGCUGACUCCAUUUUGAGUUCAUUUUUGCUUAUUAAAAGAAAAAAAAAAAGAAGGGUUCAGUGUACAACCUUGGCGUUCAUCCAUGUGUUCAUCCAUCUGAGGAGUUUGAUUCUCCUCUGUUGUCCCCUAUUCCUUGUUAAAUACCACUGGAAACAUAUUUUAAUUUAGUGCCUCGGUUGUGACCAGCUUAGCAGUGAUGGAAGGAGAGGGAGGCCCAGAAUUUCCCAAACCACAGAUUGCAUGUUCACGGAAAGGGUGUGUGUGUGUGUGUGUGUGUGUGUGUGCGUGCUCAGGGUACGAUUUCCACGUUACUGCUUAGCCCAGACACUUGGUGGCACCUAGAUGCAUCUGGGCCAUACAGCUUGUGACCUACCAAGCCAAACAGCACACCCCACGCAACAAGCUGCCUGUUUUUGUUUUUACUGCCUGCCUGGUAGUGCAGAAAUGGCAGUGUUGAAACUCCUGGCGGGCUACUUUCUGUAAGCAGAUGGGGAGCCAGUUUCACUUGGCUUGAAUUUGUGCAUGCCUUGGAAUUCUUGGUGCUAAACACUAUUUAGAAAGCCUGUGCCACCUCUGCUCUUUAUCCCUUGUUAGGAUGAGCAUUGUGUGUGUUCAUAAAGGGGAAGAAUACUACCUACAUUUUGCAGUAAUCAAUGUCGCAGUGGCUGACCCAGCCAUGAGAAAGAAGUUGAGCUGCUCUCUUUUGACACAGCUUUAGCCUGCAGUUUAAGUUCCUUCUUCAGCAUGAAAGGUUGAAAGUCAUAGGACCAUUUCACAAAAUGCUGUGUGUCAGAUUGUAACAGAGAUAUUGUGGGAUAGUUUUGGUUGUGUGAAAUGUGUCCCAUGCAUAAGGUUUCGUGUGGUACUCAUGAAUUGGAGGCAAGCCUAUGUGAUUCACAUGCGGAAAACACUUCUUAAAAGGCCACACAGAUACAAGUCAGUGUUAACCUACGCUGUUCUUGCCUACUUUGAAUAUCAGGCAAGAUAUUUCUUUUCCAGGACCAGCCUCCCAUGAGGAUUAAUAGCUAGGAGGCUUGUAUUUCAGCUGCUUAUGCCAUACAAACAUUUAUCUCACACAUUUCCUGAAUUUUCAGGCUAUAAUUCAUUGUGCUCUCUUUGAAUUGCCUGCAAUAUUAAAUCAGUUGGGUUCCCCGUUUCUUCACCUUAAAUAUUUCCCAUUUCUGUUACUCAUGUUUAAUCUGUAACUUGGGUUGUUGGACUCCAACUCCCAUUAGCCCCAGCCAAUGGUUCUAAUCGUCAUGGAUGAUGGGAACUCUAAUUCAGCAACAUCUGGAGGGCUUUCCCCACCCUGUUUGUUAUAACUAAUGGCUGGCCAGGACCCCAAAAACCUUUAAGUCUAACCCAGUGUCUGGGUUGUGUCUUGAGGAGCAGGCCCCAAGCCACAUGGGAGCUUGUUGUUUGAAAGGAGUCUACGAGGCAUGUGAGAGCCCUUGGAAACCUCUAGAGCAGGCUUCCUCAAACUCUGCCCUCCAGAUGUUUUUGGCCUACAACUCCCAUGAUCCCUAGGUAGCAGGACCAGUGGUCAGGGAUGAUGGGAAUUGUAGUCUCAAAACAUCUGUAGGGCCGAGUUUGAGGAAGCCUGCUCUAGAGUAGCUUUUUGGAUCUUAGCCAUUUAUGUGUAUGUGUGUGUGAGAGAGAUUGCUAUGCACAGCUAGUUGAAGGACUUCAGAGUUUGAUUCCUGGAAUGUUAUCUGCUAAAACAAGAAAGAAUCUCAGCUGCUAAUCUUUAUUUUUGAUCUUGCCGAAGAGAAAGAAGAUGCAGAGACACACUUUGUUUUUCCAAGGAAUCUGAUUAAAAAAUGACCCAGUAGAACUAAUCGCAGCCUUGAGAAGUCCACAUUGCUGAAAAGGAAGUGGGAGAGAGCCACUCUUCCAACUUCCUGUUUCAGCUCUAUGUACUUUUAAUCACCUGUAUCGCCUAAUGAUCGGGGGGGGGAGUGAGUGGGGAGGCUCUGUGGGUGCCAGGGGGAGAUCUCAAGGGCGCUGCAUUGGCAACCCAUUGCUUAAGCUCCCAUAACCUCUAAAGUGUGGGGUGGUUGAUUAAAGGAGCCACCGUAUCAGGAAUGGGAAACUUGAUGGGACCAUCCAAGUGAGAGCUGGGAUCCCCUAGACUUUUCAUUCUUGAUUGACGUGCAGUUGUCAGAUGAGAGUUUGGUGGUGGGAUUGGGGAGAUGGCUUGGCUUCACUAGACUCCAGUUUUCCUCUGUAAACGAGGCAACUCUCCUCUCGCCCAACUGGGUGACGUUUUGCUUUGACAUCCUGCAUAGGAAGAUGCUGAGGUGUGGGUUUUUAUUUAUUUAUUUAUAACAAGAAAACUGCCCCUUCUGGGUGCACUUGAACCAAAAAAAGAGCCAGUUUUUAAGCAGGCAGCUAUGAGGAAAGCAAAGCGUUAUUCCUUUCAAUAUUUAAAGAGGGGUUGCUCUACUCCCUCAGGAUCCUACUAGGUGCUGAGUGUCUUCAACAACAACAACAACAACACUGUCCUCUCUAUGCAAUGUUGGUUUUUUCUAUUUUACGAUCCCAACCCUUAGGAUUCUUAUACAGUACUCUGAAUUUCUCCACCACAAGGGCUCCAUCUCCAGAGAGUAUUGAAGUAAUUGGCAUGAAUGUUGCCACUUCACACACACACACACACACACACACACACACACACACUGCGUCAGGUGUUUUGGUGCUGUUAAAUUUGCUUCUAGGAUUUGCCAACUAGGGUGAGCCAGCUAUGGUAGCUGUGCUUUUCAUUAGCAGACCAAUGGCAGCCACAAAUUGGGAGAUGACUGCGUUUGUCCCCAUGCUGUAAAAAGGUUCUUCUGCUUUCUGGGCACUGAUCUGCAAGGAAAGGCACAAGAAUAGGCCAGGCUGCUUUUCCUGGUCAGUUGGCAACCCUAGCUGUAAGAUCGUCCUGGAUCCUUUGUUAGCAAGAGUCAACAUGGGAAUUGCCUGAGGACUUCUCUCUUCUGGCUUCUUCUCUCCCUCACCUUUUGACUUGCUGUCACAGAAACGUACCAGGGAAGACAAAACUGACAUUUUCUCUCUCUCCUAACUUGGUUUUGUUUAAAACCACAAUGGCUGUACUGUAUAUCAUGCCACUUUAUGCAUAUAUAAAGAUACACAUGUAUAUGUGUGUAAUUUUUUUAAGCCUUUGAACAUGACUAGUUGCUUUCAAGUGUUCUGCACUUACCCCAAAUGUUUUGAAAUUUUGUGGGGGUAUAAACUGAGGAGUGAGCCUGUUUUUGUAUCCUUCCCUUUCCUCUCAUUAGUUUUAUUGUACUGUAACCAUUUUUUAUUUUUUUUUACUGGUUUGGGUUUUCUUCCCCCCUUGUUCAGCAAAUGCUAAACAAAAAGUUCUAAAUGGUUUCUAUUCAGCUUCAGUUUAAUGUUUUAAAAUAAACUUGGAAAAGGCA